rnacentral:lncRNA from 1 species
AUUCAUUGUUCUCGUUUCUAUUAUUUCUGAAAAAAAUCUUCAGGAUUCUGCUUGUGGGAGUGGAUGACAUUUUUACAGUGUUUACAGACACAAAAUGAACAAGAUGUCUGUGACAACCCUCAGGCCAUUGACGCCUUCUCUCCUAUGUAUCAAAUCACACAUUUGGACUUUGACUGAACCCUCACAUGUCAGAUGCUCAAUACUGAGGUAUAGUAAAAGGGAGCAUGAACUUGAGAAAAUAUGCUUUCAACACAAAGCUGUAAUAAUAUAAGGUCAAAUCAGAUUCUGCAUUGGAGAUAGAAAACUCUGAAGGAAGCUUUAUCUAUUCCAGAAUGUCAUAUAGCUGGUAUAAGAAAGAACACUAAUCAUUCCUAAGGAAGAAAAUUAACAACGCCGUGAGUUAUAAUAUCUGGCUGAAACUGAAGGAGCUCUGUGUAAUUAAAAGUCCUUUCUGCCCUGCCUGGCCACGGUUCUGUAUGCAUUGAUGUCUUACAAACUGAAAAAAAAAAAAAAGUUAUUUUCUCAUCUCCAUUCCCUAGCAUAGAC